UACAAGAUCUGUCCCCCAGGAGGCGGCUUCCUGUAUCUUGUGCCCAUCCACAGCCUCCCGAGGCUGCCACGCUGGGGUCCAUGGUCAGGAGAGGCUGCCGUGUGUGUUACAAGGGUCCACUCAGGGUGGAGGCUGAUCUCUGGGAGUACAUGGAGAAGUUGGCCAGUCCUCCUCCACCCCUGCCUGCAGCAGGGUGGUGGUUUGCAGAGUGGUAGGAAUGCCUUGGGCCUUUGAACAUCGCCAGGCCUCUAACCCCGUGUUGCUUGAGGACAGCAAAGCAGCAGCUUGUGGGGCCCGGGCUUGCUGGGUGGGCCCAGGAAAGGCCCCUCCCUUCAGUGGGGGUUCUUCCCUGCCUGCUAAGCUCUGUGUCCUGUGAAACCGGUGGGAAACAAUGACUGUGAUGUUGGCAGGCAGUUGUGAGGUACUUCCCACCCUGGCU